GUGAGAUUUCACCUCAGGUGAAUCCUAGAGAUUUGUGAAUCUGAAUUGGGUGAUUGCACAGAUUGUCAUUUUGAGAAAGUCUGAGACGUUUGUGGCAUUUUUGUUUCCAGCUGGGGUGUAUUACCACGCCCAGCCCCAGUUCACACCCUCUUUUGCCCCGGCACCCAUCAUCAUGAACCCCGCCCCCCAGCAGCAGCAGGCACCGCCCCCUCAAAUGCAGCAAGCUCUGCGCAGACGGGAACGCAAGCAGAUCAGGAUCUUUGACCCUAAUCAGGGAGGACGUGACAUCACAGAAGAGAUCAUGUCAGCAGGUCGCAAUGUCUCCACACCUACACCUCCGCAGAUGCCUUACAACAAGAAGUGAAAGCUGAGAAAAAGGAGGCCUCAGAGAUUAUCUUUGCUGUGACCAUGCAAAAAUGGCUCCGUUGUGGUGCUGAACGGCUUGUGGGCAUUGCCUUGUGGUGGAAAGCCCUGAGUUCAUCAGACUAUCCGUUUAAUGAGGAGCAAGGAUGUCUUUUUUAAAUCAGAAAAGUAGCUUCGAUCCAUGAAAAGCUUCAAGUCCUGAACAGCAAACUGGUAAUGUUUCGGUCUGUGGUACUUUAGUGUUUCUGCCUUUGAUGGUGAGUUUUCAUUUGUAUUUACUUCAAUUUUGCAGAUGCAGGUUGCAUUUGUAAUAUGUUGUAAGUUUUACAGGCUCUUCUCCUGGCAUUUGCUUUAUAAUUCAGAAUUAACUGUUCCAUGUAUUUGUUUAAGUCACUUUGUCAUUCAUUUUAUCAUAUUCUGUACGUACAUUGUAUUUUAAGCUCUGUCCCCCAGUUUCACAAGGCUAGUCCCAGACUAAAAUGCAUGUUUGAGCUGUCUUAAUUGAAAAUAACUUGCUCCAACAGAUCUUAAAAUGCCAUUGCCAUUGCUUUGUCUCAAGAUGCACACCAGUAAUGUUUUUUUUGGGGGGGGGCAUUUUUAUAAAAGCCA